AGCAGUCUUCGACCGGAAGUUAGGUCGGAGCUUGUAGCAGGGAGGAAUUACAUCGAACAGCACGUGGGAAGUUGUUACUGCAAGUGUCAACAUUAAUUGCAGAAUGAAAUUAAGUGCAAAUUAAGGCUCCCCUGGAUACUUCACAUUUAGAGAGAAUAAAGAAGAGGGAUGUGUUUGGACCACACAGUGUUCAGGGACAUGUGGAUGGAUGUAAUGAUGGACAUCCGCUCGUGGACAGAAGUAUAACCCCUGCUGGACAUGGUGCCAGGGCUCGGGGGGGACCUGAAUCGUCCCCAUCCCUUCAUUCACACAACACUCACUCAUAUCGCGGAGAUCUGGCUGGGAUCGAACCAGCAACCUCUGAACCGUGAGGCAGUGCUCUUACCUGUGAGCCACAGAUCUCUUGUCUGAACAUGUGAAGGAACUUAUAUUUCACUGUUCACCUGCAUGUGCUUUUAUAAUAAAACAGUUAAAGCGUGAA